GGCUCUGUGGCGCAAUGGAUAGCGCAUUGGACUUCUAGGCUGUGAGCUGAGCCAUUCAAAGGUUAUGGGUUCGAGUCCCACCAGAGUUG
rnacentral:tRNA from 1 species